UCAGAACAGCAAAGCACCAGCUUCCAGAAUUAUGGACAGAAGUACAAAAAGCAGAGGAGCUUCUUUAUUGUCCUGCUGAGGCUUCAGUCCAACUCUAGACCCUGGUUUCCUGUGGAUAGUGUUAAAUUUAGCAUUCAGCUCAAUUCCAUUUCCAUUCACCUUCAGAC